GCCUUGGUGGCUUAACGGUAAAGCGUUCGACUGAAGCUCGAAAGAAAGUGGUUCGAUUCCAUUCCAGGGCA
rnacentral:tRNA from 2 species